rnacentral:rRNA from 1 species
GGACUACUGGGGUAUCUAAUCCUGUUUGCUCCCCACGCUUUCGCGUCUCAGCGUCAGCAACGAUCCAGAGGGUCGCCUUCGCCGCCGGUGUUCCUCCUGAUAUCUACGCAUUUCACCGCUACACCAGGAAUUCCACCCUCCUCUAUCGCGCUCCAGCCAGCUAGUUUCCGAUGCACUUCCGGAGCUGAGCUCCGGGCUUUCACAUCAGACUUGACCAACCGCCUACACGCCCUUUACGCCCAGUCAAUCCGAACAACGCUCGCACCCUCCGUCUUACCGCGGCGGCUGGCAC